rnacentral:lncRNA from 1 species
CUGCAAAAAAGAGAGAGAGAGGGGAAAAAAAGAGUGUGUUCUUUUGUACUACUAGAGGCGUGUUGGAAGUGACCCAAUCCUCGUAGCUGCUUCUAUUCAAAGAAGAAGGAAAGAAAUUAAAGAGAGCUCCAUGUAGUUUGUAUGCUACUAUUAUGAAUUGUAUAAUAAAAUAUAUUGGAAUGAAAGUCAUAAAAUUAAUGUUACUUAAUAAGAAUAAAUGAAAAAUAUAGCUGGGAACACACAUAUUUUGAAUUCUGUACAUCUUAUCCUUGUAAAUAUAUUAAAAUCUAGGCUUAGGAUUUUCCUUUCAAUAUGUACAAUGUUCAGAGUGUUUAGCCCUCAUUAGUAAAUAGUAACACCACCAGAGGUCACCCUAUUCAAAUCUAGUUAAAUCGUUGUGGAGUAUGACUCCUUUUGGAAUCGAAGUAGUAGACUUGAUAUUUUAGUGUUGAUGAGGACUAUACCAGAUCAAGGGAUGGGGUACUCGUACUCAGGACUCCUGGGACUCUAGUUGUACUUGAGUCUCUUUAAAAUACCACUUGGAGGACUCAAGUAAUUCAAAGAUUAGGAUCUUGGAAAACACUUGAAUUCCUUUAUGGCCGCCAUCAUUUUGUCAACUUAAUUAUUAGUCAAAUAAGCUUAGUCAGUAUUCAAUGAUGUUAUUAUUUAACAAAAAUCUAAAAGUAAAAUACGCUUUACAUUUUUCCCGUCCAUCUCAAAAUAUCUAUAACUUUGUUAUGAUGAUGAAAAGACUCACUUUAAAAGUA